GACGAACGCUGGCGGCGUGCCUAACACAUGCAAGUCGAGCGGAGGAAGCAGUAAUGUUUCUUCAGCGGCGGACGGGUGAGUAACACGUGGGUAACCUGCCUCGAAAUGGGGGAUAGCCUUCCGAAAGGAAGAUUAAUACCGCAUAACCUCGGAUCUCCGCAUGGAGGACCGAGAAAAGGAGAAAUCCGUUUCGAGAUGGACCCGCGGCGCAUUAGCUAGUUGGUGAGGUAACGGCCCACCAAGGCGACGAUGCGUAGCCGACCUGAGAGGGUGAUCGGCCACAUUGGAACUGAGACACGGUCCAGACUCCUACGGGUGGCAG
rnacentral:rRNA from 1 species